rnacentral:lncRNA from 13 species
AUGAAGAAACAGAGACAAGUCAUUUGGCUGAAAAGAUGUGAAAGUGGGCUGAGCAUCCAGACAGUGUGGCUCUGGAGUCCAUGAGCCACAUCCCUCUACAUCGCUGCUAUAAAGGAUAAUUCUCCAGAAAAAAAAUAAAUAUUAUUUGGGACCAGAAGACAACUCAAAGAAAUAUUGUUUCGGCUAUAUCAGACAGUAAAGAUUUUGACUAUGAAAUUUUAUGCUUCUUUGUCUCUGGAUGUUAUCUCAGAAAAAUACAGUCUCACUUUGUUGCCCAGGUUGAAGUGCAGUGGAACAAUCUCAGCUCAUGCAGCCUCCACCUCCCAGGUUCAAGCCGUUCUCCUGCCUCAGCCUCCUGAGUGUAGCUGGGACUAUAGGCACUCACCACCAGGCCCAGGAGGCUGAGGCAGAAGAAUUGCCUGAACCAGGAGGCAGAGGUUGUGGUGAGCCGAGAUCACGCCAUUGCACUCCAGCCUGCAUAACAAGAGCGAAACUCCGUCUCAAAAAAAUAAAAAGAAGUUAUUGAACUUCACGAUAACAGCAGGAAGUUUCCAUAAGUCUGCUAGUUUUGCACUAGUGAUACUUUUCUAUUUCGCACUACUUGACCUCUUGUCUCUAAAGGCCCUUAGAUGGAAUAUUCUCAUUUCCGCCAAUUCUUGGACUGGCCAACUCUUCUAAAAGACUAAACCAAGGCCAAAUUUCUCCUUCUACCUCCAAGCAGGCUGAGGUCUCCCUGCACCAUUAUUCAACCCUAUUCAUUUCUCUCUUAUUUCAUUUACCACAUGGAGUUUAAUUGCUGUAAUAGACGUGUCAUCUUUCUGAGAACAAUUGCUUAUUUUAACAGAGAGAUGACUAGUUUCUUAUUAACUUUGACAACCAUCAAGUAUCCCAGUGGCUACUUCACAGCAGCUGCUUAAUGUUAUGUUGAAUACCUGAAUAAAAUCAGGACUACGGAAAAAUGCCUGCA